GACGAACGCUGGCGGCGUGCCUAAUACAUGCAAGUCGAGCGAGACUCUUCGGAGUCUAGCGGCGGACGGGUGAGUAACACGUGGGCAACCUGCCUGUAAGACUGGGAUAACACCGGGAAACCGGUGCUAAUACCGGAUAACCCUUUUCCUCUCAUGAGGAAAAGCUGAAAGUCGGUUUCGGCUGACACUUACAGAUGGGCCCGCGGCGCAUUAGCUAGUUGGUGAGGUAAUGGCUCACCAAGGCGACGAUGCGUAGCCGACCUGAGAGGGUGAUCGGCCACACUGGGACUGAGACACGGCCCAGACUCCUACGGGAGGCAGCAGUAGGGAAUCUUCCACAAUGGACGAAAGUCUGAUGGAGCAACGCCGCGUGAGUGAUGAAGGCCUUCGGGUCGUAAAGCUCUGUUGUUAGGGAAGAACAAGUACCGGAGUAACUGCCGGUACCUUGACGGUACCUAACCAGAAAGCCACGGCUAACUACGUGCCAGCCGCCGCCGUAACAC
rnacentral:rRNA from 1 species